AGGCAGUGGAAAUGUAGGAAUGGAAGAGGAUCAAGACAUUGUAAUGGUGGGAAUGGAAGGGGAUCAAGGCAAUGUAAAGGUGGGAAUGGAAGAGGAUCAAGACAUUGUAAUGGUGGGAAUGGAAGAGGAUCAAGACAUUGUAAUGGUGGGAAUGGAAGGGGAUCGAGACAUUGUAAUGGUGGGAAUGGAAGAGGAUCAAGACAUUGUCAUGGUGGGAAUGGAAGAGGAUCAAGGCAGUGUACAGGUAGGAAUGGAAGAGGAUCAAAGCAAUGUGAGUGGAAAUGGAAGAGGAUCAAGGCAGUGUACAGGUAGGAAUGGAAGAGGAUCAAGGCAGUGGAAAUGUAGGAAUGGAAGAGGAUCAAGACAUUGUAAUGGUGGGAAUGGAAGGGGAUCAAGGCAAUGUAAAGGUGGGAAUGGAAGAGGAUCAAGACAUUGUAAUGGUGGGAAUGGAAGAGGAUCAAGACAUUGUCAUGGUGGGAAUGGAAGCGGAUCAAAGCAAUGUGAAAGUGGGAAUGGAAGAGGAUCAAGGCAGUGUACAGGUAGCAAUGGAAGACGAUCAAGACAUUGUAAUGGUGGGAAUGGAAGGGGAUCGAGACAUUGUAAUGGUGGGAAUGGAAGAGGAUCAAGACAUUGUCAUGGUGGGAAUGGAAGAGGAUCAAAGCAAUGUGAAAGUGGGAAUGGAAGAGGAUCAAGGCAGUGUACAGGUAGGAAUGGAAGAGGAUCAAGACAUUGUAAUGGUGGGAAUGGAAGAGGAUCAAGGCAAUGUAAAGGUGGGAAUGGAAGAGGAUCAAGGCAGUGUAAAGGUGGCAAUGGAAGAGGAUCAAGGCAGUGUAAAGGUGGGAAUGGAAGAGGAUCAAGGCAGUGUACAGGUAGGAAUGGAAGAGGAUCAAGGCUGUGUACAGGUAGGAAUGGAAGAGGAUCAAGGCAAUGUAAAAGUGGGAAUGGAAGAGGAUCAAGGCUGUGUACCGGUAGGAAUGGAAGAGGAUCAAGGCAGUGUACAGGUAGGAAUGGAAGAGGAUCAAGGCAGUGUACAGG
rnacentral:lncRNA from 1 species